CCCAAAAGGACUCUCGGCAACGGAUAUUUCGGUUUUUGCUUCAAUAAAAAACGUACCAAAAUGGGAUACUUGGUGUGAAUUGCAAAAUCCCGGGAACCAUCGAGUCUUUGAACGCAAGUUGCGCCCAAACCCUUUAGGCCGAGGGCACGCCUGCCUGGGUGUCAA
rnacentral:rRNA from 1 species